rnacentral:lncRNA from 1 species
CUAAACCUGUCGCUAUCAAUCUACAAGGAGAGGAGAAAUAAUGGAAUGAACUAUACAACCCAGUAAGCAGGUCUAGUGUUAUGCAUCUAUCGUGAUUCUAUCUUGUGUGAUAAUAUUUCAAUCCAUCAAUAUGAAGUCAAAGUUUGACAUAUGUGAAUAUCAAGUCAAGACAUCGAGUGUGAACAUUUCAUUUAAACGACAGUUAUCAUUUAAAUUAAUGAGAUCACAAGCAUUCGAUCAGUAAAUUCAUUAAUUAUUCAAUCAUUACGAUACCAAGCAUUCCUUAUACAAAAAAUUCAAAUAUUAC